CUACGCACUCCUAACGGGAGGCAGCAGUGGGGAAUAUUGCACAAUGGGCGCAAGCCUGAUGCAGCCAUGCCGCGUGUAUGAAGAAGGCCUUCGGGUUGUAAAGUACUUUCAGCAGUGAGGAAGGUGGGUAUGUUAAUAGCAUACUCAUUUGACGUUAGCUGCAGAAGAAGCACCGGCUAACUCCGUGCCAGCAGCCGCGGUAAUACGGAGGGUGCGAGCGUUAAUCGGAAUUACUGGGCGUAAAGCGCAUGCAGGUGGUUUGUUAAGUCAGAUGUGAAAGCCCGGGGCUCAACCUCCGGAAUUGCAUUUGAAACUGGCAAACUAGAGUACUGUAGAGGGGGUAGAAUUUCAGGUGUAGCGGUGAAAUGCGUAGAGAUCUGAAGGAAUACCGGUGGCGAAGGCGGCCCCCUGGACAGAUACUGACACUCAGAUGCGAAAGCGUGGGGAGCAAACAGGAUUAGAUACCCUGGUAG
rnacentral:rRNA from 1 species